GACGAACGCUGGCGGCGUGCUUAACACAUGCAAGUCGAACGGUAGGGCCCUUCGGGGUACACGAGUGGCGAACGGGUGAGUAACACGUGAGUGAUCUGCCCUGCACUUCGGGAUAAGCCUGGGAAACUGGGUCUAAUAUCGGAUAGGACCACUGCCUGCAUGGGUGGUGGUGGAAAGCUUUUGCGGUUUGGGAUGGGCCGGCGGCCUAUCAGCUUGUUGGUGGGGUGAUGGCCUACAAAGGCGACGACGGGUAGCCGGCCUGAGAGGGUGACCGGCCACACGGGGACUGAGAGACGGCCCAGACUCAUACGGGAGGCAGCAGUGGGGAAUAUUGCACAAUGGGCGCAAGCCUGAUGCAGCGACGCCGCGUGAGGGAUGACGGCCUUCGGGUUGUAAACCUCUUUCAGCACCGACGAAGCGCAAGUGACGGUAGGUGCAGAAGAAGGACCGGCCAACUACGUGCCAGCCGCCGCGGUAAUAC
rnacentral:rRNA from 1 species